CCCGUUCCCGUUGUUUUCCGCUCAUGCCUCUUGCUCUUCGGGCCCAUUUGGGUCUAUUGGGUCUAUAUUUGGGUCUAUAACGGGAUUUAGGGCUGUGUGAAGGGAAAGGCUUUGCUCGUCCUGCUCCUGCUGUGCAGGCACCGCCGGGUUUGUGCUCAUCCCAUGGGAUGCGCAGGUUUGAUCCCGCCGGGAAUGAUGCGAUCUCUGCUCCAUCAAACAGCGCAUGGGGAAAGACUGCAGCGCCCAAAGCUAUGGGGAGGCACCGUGAGCUCCACCCGUGGACACGGGAUGUAGGGACAAGGGGAAUGGCUUGAACCUGCCCGAGGGGUGAUGGAGAUGAGCUCCUAAGCUCUUCCCUAUGAGGGUGAUGGGAUACUGGGAUGGGUUGAAUGGAGAAGCUGUGACUGCCCCAUCCCAGGUUGGAUGGGGCUUGGAGCAGCUGCUCCAGCGGAAGGUGUCCCUGCUUUAUGGAUGAGCUUUAAGGUCCCUUCCAACCCAUCCCAUCCCAUUCCAUGAUCCCGUGUCCCCAUGCUCCUGAGCAGCCUCCGGCCCCAGAACUGGUGGAUCUCGUCCUCUUGCCUCAUUUCCCUUUGCAGACUGAACGGGGAAACGACCCUUCCUGGGGCAGUUUUCAUCCCCAGUGACGUGGUUGGUGUUUGCUGGGGGGGAAUGGGAAUAGAGGGGUUAUUGCUGAGCCAUAGAGCCCUGCGGCCACACGAACCUGCUGCAACGUCCCCAGAGCAUCAAUCAGACGCGUCCAUUGACGGUGGCCAACGUCAGAGCAUGAAACCCAUCUUGGGGACCAUAUAAAGGCUGCAGGAAGGGUCCUUGGCCUCAUAGCCACAGCCCUGACCUCUGCUCUGCUCUUCCUCCUUCCCAGGCCAUGGAUUCUCCCUAUGCCAAUGGAGCUUACACCCCCCCCUACCCUCCUGCCUCGCACUACACGGGGCUGGCACAGACACGGGGGUACCACUGCUCUGGGCCCCCCUACCCCUCCGAGCCCAGCGGCAGGUACCGGUGCCCAUCACCGGCUCCCCCCUGGAGCUACACAGCAUCGGAUGGUCCCAAUGAGGGCUCCUCGCUCCGGAGGCAGCAGCAGGGUCCCAGCUACUCCCCACCGCAGACACCGGGAAUGCCCAUCCCACAGUAUCCCUAUGGAGACAGCAGCUCAGGGGUCACUCCCCCACCACAGCCCAGAGGCCCAGAGGAUGCUUGGGCUCCUCACCCUGUCUAUGGGGUGCAGCCACGGUAUCCGUGGGCCUCUGCUUCAGUGCAUGGGAACCCCUUUGUGGCCGAUUCACACCCAUCCUGGACCAGCAGUGGAGCAUCUUCCCACCCCACCGCAUGGGACUCAAAGGUAGGAUGCUGGUGCAGUGAUGCAGUGCAAAGUGAUGCUGGGUCCUGGUUGGGGGAACACCUCCCCAAACCCCUUUCCCUGAGCAUGCUUAGUUUAGGUAGGAACAGAGCAGCAGGGAUCCAGGUACUGCAGCAAAACCACCUAUUUCCAUACACGAGACCGAAAGCCAAGGCUGGAGCUAUAGAAAGGCACUGGAGGUAUUGGGCAUCCCAGGGCAGGGAAAUAGGUCAGACCUUGUCCAACAGCUCUCUCAAGCAUUGAAGAGCAUGGGACUCCCUAAGGGCCAGUCUGUACCCUUUGGAAUUCCUCUUCAAGUGCUUGGUUUGGGCACA
rnacentral:lncRNA from 14 species